rnacentral:siRNA from 1 species
UUACACUCACAUAGUUUCAUUUC